rnacentral:rRNA from 1 species
AUUGAACGCUGGCGGCAGGCCUAACACAUGCAAGUCGAGCGGAUGAAGGGAGCUUGCUCCUGGAUUCAGCGGCGGACGGGUGAGUAAUGCCUAGGAAUCUGCCUGGUAGUGGGGGAUAACGUCCGGAAACGGGCGCUAAUACCGCAUACGUCCUGAGGGAGAAAGUGGGGGAUCUUCGGACCUCACGCUAUCAGAUGAGCCUAGGUCGGAUUAGCUAGUUGGUGGGGUAAAGGCCUACCAAGGCGACGAUCCGUAACUGGUCUGAGAGGAUGAUCAGUCACAAUGGAACUGAGACACGGUCCAGACUCCAACGGGAGGCAGCAGUGGGGAAUAUUGGACAAAGGGCGAAAGCCUGAUCCAGCCAUGCAGCGUGUGUGAAGAAAGACUUCGGAUUGUAAAGCACUUUAAGAUGGGAGGAAGGGCAGUAAGUUAAUACCUUGCUGUUUUGACGUUACAAACAGAAUAAGCACCGGCUAACUUCGUG